GUUAUAAUAAUUUAAAUUAAAAUAUUAAUUUUGUAAAUUAAAAAUAUAAAUUUUAUUUAUAACA
rnacentral:tRNA from 1 species